GGUGCCAAAGCGAAAUUACCAAUCACAAUUCAAAGACGUCACGCGAGAGAGCUGAAUCAAAGUCUGCUUUACUUGUUAAGCCAUCAAUAUUCCGACAAUACUGACACUUUUAGAAAGAAUGAAUAACAAAACAAUGAUAAUAAUAGAAAUCAAAACUUGCAUACAGAAACUUAUUCAAGAAGAGUCUAACGUAUUUGGAAGUCGAAAAAAUAUUUAGUGG
rnacentral:lncRNA from 1 species